rnacentral:sRNA from 1 species
UGGGGCCUAUUAAUGAGCACUUUUUGCUGUUGUUGUUGAUUUUUAACUCUGAACCUUAUAGACAGACCGACGGACAGUAUGCACGACGCUAAAAAGUCAGAAAAUAAAUAUUUUGUUGGCAUGCUUGGAAUAGGCCUACUUUGGUGGGAUACAUCAGACAAGUCUUCUUGAUUCAGAGAUUUAGACUUGACGUUACUCUGAUAGCUGGUUUAACUAUUAUUAACUCUCCUAUUUGGCCUAUAUGUGAAAAUUUUGCCUGUCGUAUGGUAGCCUAUGCGCCCUGAAAUGUCGUUCGGUAGACUCGAAGGUCCCGGGUUCGAAUCCUGCCCGUGGCCAUCCCAUGUAAUCCUGGGUGAAGUUUGGGCUACAAUGUCAUUAUAGCGUCAAUUUCAUAAACAUUUUGACACAUAUUGUAAUCUGUGCAGAGCGUAUUAGAAAGAGUCUAGUAGCCUAGGCCUACAUUAAAAACACCGAGAUGGAGAAAAUAAUAAAACUACUGAAACAAAAUCAUGAAAAUGCUUUGAAAGCUGCGAGUAUCUUCUUUUGUUAUAUAGAUCUACUCUACUGGAACAUCUAUUUGUUCAAGGGUCGCUAAUAGCAUUUGAUCGCUGUUUAAGAACAAAGAUAAUUAUUCUCGAUAGACAAAAAAAUAAAUAUGUAGGUCUGUUUUUUGUUCCAAAUAGGGGAGACUAAUCCAACUUUUAGAUAUAGAUGUAAGAGUACAGUACCCCUAUUUGUUUAGGAAAACAAAAACAUUAACAUGCUGACAUGCUCAUAACAAUAUUGAAUACUAUUAACAUCUAAGACAAGAGUAUGACUAGAUCUUGAAUCGUGAUCUAUGAAUGACGAUUAUGAUCUAUAUAUUAUAGAUUUACAAUAAAAUGAGCAAGACUGAUCCAGCGUUUUCCAGGGUUGACCCCAAGCGGUCAGGAUUCUACAUAUGGAGGAUUGAGAACAUGCAAGUUACGCCCAUAGCCAAGGAGUUCUAUGGAGAGUUCUUCAGGGGAGAUUCUUACAUCGUUUUGUCCGUAAGUGACUUCCCUUGUAUUUGUAUUCCUCAGAGGCUUACAGUUUGGUACAUGUUUGAACUCAAGUAUAACAUCAAUCUUUUCUAUUUUCAUCAUUGAUCAAUAUGUUUAUAUUUAUGUUAAUAUCUUGAUAAUUGUACUGUUUUUCUUAUGCUGUGUCACAGCUUUCCUAUUAUAAAACUCUAUCUUCUUUUAACUCGGUAGAAAGUACCUUAUGUCUCGAUACGUCUAGGUGUCCCUGGUCCAGCUGUAU